UAUAUUUGGGAGCCAUCGACAUACAGAU
rnacentral:piRNA from 1 species